AUCAAGUCAAUGAAUUGUGUUUAUUUUUAGUUUGAAGGCAAUGUAUCAUAACCUUGGAAAGUUAAAGGUAAUAUAGAAAUAAUAAAACAGACACACCAAACUUUUAUUUAGCUCAAGACUUGAAGAUACAUUUAUUGAAAUGGUUUUAAAAAUAAAACAAUUUAAAAUAUCUAUUAUACAUUAGACACAAAAAAAAAGAUAUUAAUUUUAAAGCCAUACUGUAAAUACACACACAUAAAACUAGUUUUUUCAAAAAAGGCCUA